rnacentral:rRNA from 1 species
UACGAAGGGGGCUAGCGUUGCUCGGAAUCACUGGGCGUAAAGCGCACGUAGGCGGAUUUUUAAGUCAGGGGUGAAAUCCUGGAGCUCAACUCCAGAACUGCCUUUGAUACUGGGAAUCUAGAGUCCGGAAGAGGUGAGUGGAACUCCGAGUGUAGAGGUGAAAUUCGUAGAUAUUCGGAAGAACACCAGUGGCGAAGGCGGCUCACUGGUCCGGUACUGACGCUGAGGUGCGAAAGCGUGGGGAGCGAACAGG